rnacentral:lncRNA from 1 species
GCCUAAUCAAUUAUAGAAAUAGCCUAUUUACACAUAUAGCCUAACUACAGAAAAUAAGCUAAUUACAAGAAUAGCCUAAUAACAUAAGUAGCCUAUUAGGCUCAGAUAUGACUCCCUUAUUGACCCUUAACGGUCUAAAGUGGGUUUAUCAUCAUCGCAGAUAUGACUCCCUUAUUGACCCUUAACGGUCUAAAGUGGGUUUAUCAUCAUUGCCUAUAUAUGUCUCAACACCCCCCCUCAAGUUGAAGGGGGGAAACCACCAUCAACUUGGACAAAAGAGGAGAGAGAGCAGUCCCAGAUAAAGCCUUGGUCAAUAGANN